UGAAGACCAAGCCUAGUCUUCUUCCUUUUCCAUUUUUAGCCAAUUCCCUUCUCUCUCUACAUUUUAUCUUUCUCUCUCUAUAUCUAUCUACACAUAUAUUCUUCCAUGCUAAAAGCUCAAUUUUAAGAGGUUUAGAGUAUGAAUUUGGUGAAGCUAUGAAAAAAAAAAAAAGAAAAAGGGGCAAAGAGGGCUGGAUUACGUACUUUCAUGGCCGCCAUAUUUCACCACCAUUUCUCUCUUGUGCUCAGUUAAGGUGCCGUGAUUAAUUGAAGGAAGUGGAGUUGCUGAAACUGCUUAUUUGUGACCAUCCUGUUCAUGUAGAUAAUGUGUUUGAUAAAAUACUUGAUUCCAUUGUAAUUUGAGAAAAUGAUGUAAACGCGUGAUUAUGAUAGUAUAUAAAGGAAACUUUGGAAA